GAUCCAAUCACCUCCCACCAGGUUCCUCCCUCAACGCCUGGUCAAGAUGAGAUGGGGGUGGGGACACAGCCUAACCAUCUCAACCUUCUUUAUUUCAUUCGUUUAACAAACAUUUACAAACAGCUUGUUCUACACAGUAGACAGUCAAGGUCAAACAGGGCGGAGCCUCUGCUCUCCGGGAGUCCACAGCUGGAAAAGGGAUAGCGAGAUACCCCUGGAAAUCUGCACUUCAUGAUGCUCAAGACGCAAUUCCUUCCCUGACCACACCUGAAUUCAAGGGCAAAAACCUAUUUCUGAACCGGGCCAGCAGCGCCCUCUAGUGGAUCCACAGAGGAAGGCCUCAAGGAGCUCUGCGCUUCAGACACAUCCACGCAGGCAGCAUAAAGCCACGCGGGGACCCUGCUAGCAGGAAAGAGCAUGAAGCUUGGGGCUGCUGGAGUCAUCACCUGAAUCAGAGAAUAAAGCUAACUCAGAGGAAAGCACCACAGAGACAUCAAGGGACCAGCUUGAGUUAUAUCGCUGGAUGUGACCAUGUCUGCAGGGACUGGAAAUUUCAAUCGUGUGAGCCAAUAAAUUCCCCUCUUCUGGGGAACUACAUGGAAUUGGGUUUCUGUCACAACUGAAAUCAUUCUGACCAAUGGAUUUAGGAUUCUAAAGAAUGAAAAGGAAAUACAUCAUUAGGGCUCUUAAAUACCUCAAAGGGAGGCCAGGCGCAGUGGCUCACGCCUGUAAUCCCAGCACUUUGGGACGCUGAGGUGGGCGGAUCACAAGGUCAGGAGUUUGAGACCAGCCUGGCCAACAUAGUGAGACCCCAUUUCUACCCAAAUUAGCCAGGCGUGGUGAUGGGUGCCCGUAGUCCCAGCUACUCAGGAGCUGGAGGCAGAAGAAUCAUUUGAACCUGGGAGGCAGAUUACAGUGAGCCAAGAUUGCACCACUGCACUCCAGACAGAGCGAGACUCCAGUCAAACAAACAAACAAAAUCUCAACAGGAAUCCUAAUGUCAGGCAAAGUAUCUCAGAAAUGCAGUCUAACACCUUUUGGUGAAACUCACUGCCUGUCUUUUUGCACUGACUUGCUUCUCCUUGCCUUCCGCCAUGAUUGUGAAGCUUCCCCAGCCAGUGGAACUGUAUCUUCCCUCGUUCUCACCCUCAGGAAUAAAACAAUUAGAGUGGAAAUGCAAAGAGAAAGAAGAGUCAGAACUCAGCUUUUAAAUUUCAACAUUCAAUAUUUUUAAAUUUCAAAUGUGUGGCUAGAGAGAAAAGUCUCCGUGUUUCAAAAGUUGCAUCUUUUUUACUCCAGAAGCUUGAAUCCUAUGUGAUUCUGGAAGUCUGUGUUCUAUAAAAUCUAGAGGUUCAAAAGAAGCAGAAUCUGCAGGAUGGGUGUGGCAGCCCCACCUAGGAGAGGCAAGGCGGCCGGGCUGAGGACAGAGAGGAGGUGAAGCAGAGCCUGGUAUGGGUCUCUGGAGGAUCCUUGUCACCUGCCUCUUUCCAGAUGGAGCUUCAGGGAGGAAAGAGGGAGAAACAGAGCCCAGGGGGGUCGCUGUGGCAUCUGGAAGGAGUGGAGACCUGUGCCUCACUUCUUGUCACGGGCCCUGGAGGCGGUGGCUCUUGCAGUGUUUCCCCUCCCAGCGAGGGAUGCCUUUUUUGUGUCUACACCACAGGGGCCCAAGAUAGCCUCUUGGAGAUUCCCAAGGCCUCCAGAGCAGUGGGAGCAGCCAGGGUUUCCCCAUGUCCUUGACAAUGGCAAUGUCAGUGGCUCAACAACAAGAAUCACAUGGGAUGGCUGGGUGGAGCCCAGCCUGGAUCAAUACUGACAGCAGGACAGGGACCCAGAGGAAGAUACCUGAGCAAGUGCCAGCAGGGACAAGAAAGACAAUGACAACCUCAUGCCUCAACAAAACAAAAAUCCAGCAGCUUAUACUCCCAAUGGAAAGCAGGAUGAAGAAACGUAACUUCCAGUUGACAGAAAAAAAUGGUUGGCUCUUCUGUCCCCUCUUCCCUAUGAGAUUUGUAUCUCCCCAAAUCAAAACACCCUAAAAAGUUCUGAAAGGCAGGGUGGGGCGCUGGAAGGCAGUGGAUGUGGAGUGAGGGGACAAGAGUUUCUUUGUCACUGGCCAUCUUGUGUGACCUUGAGCUGGUCAUUUCACCUCUCUGGUUCUCAGUUUUCUCAUCUGUAAAAUAAGAUGUAAUGCUACCUGCUCCUCUGGCUGCUUGUGAGGAUUAAAUGCAAAAAAAUCCGAAAAACAAAACAAACUUCCCCCGCUUCCCGGCUGAGUUCUGCACCUGGUAGUUAGGGGCUCAGCAAAUAGCUGAACCUUCCCUGCCUUUCCCUUUCAAUUGUUGCCCAUUUAGAAACACCAUAAUUCUUUGCAGGAAAGAUGGAUACAUGAGGUUACAUAUACCAGCGCCUGGAAAACAAAAUGAAACAAAGCCUUCUUCCACUCUGGGGAAGAAACAAUAAAAACCUCAAGGCACAAAACAGACAAUGAAAAUGACUUGAGAGCGGGGCUGGGGGUGGUGGGCAGGGUGAGGGCGGUGACUGCACUCAAUGAAAAGCAACAACUCAAUACCCUGCUAUCAUCCUUCAUCAAACUACAGAAAUAGAAACCAGACAAACACAUUAUGUGAAGGGCAAAAGGGCUGGCAAGGUUCUGGCCUAUAGGAAAAACCCUGGUUCGAUAAUCCCACGAACAGAGGGAGGUAGGGAAGGGAGGUCAAAGUCAAUAGCAGUUUUUUUUCUUUUUUUCUUUGUCAGAACGCUGGUUUACAGUCCUAAUGAGGCUUAAACAUCACACGCUCCUUUUUGACUGAAUUCAGUUUCUCAUUAGACUCUGUAUCUGCUCCCAGAUCAGCCAGGCACAUGCCAGGAGCUGCUUCUACUUCCUCUGGCCAGUGAAUUAUCAGGGGUAUUUCUGCCUGUUUUUUGUCUUUUUUUUUUUUUUGGUUAAAGAAAGCUUUGGAGUCGAAAUGGUCUCUUCUAAUUAUAUCUCCUCUCCUCUCUCUGAUUAGAAAGGUGAUCAAUUUUGGGGAAGGACCUGGGCUCUGUCUUUCUUCAGAGGAGUGCCUGGUUAAGAUAGUAUUAUCUGCUCUGGGUCUUUUCCGUUUUUCCAGAGAAAAUCUCAGGCCGGCAGCCAUGUUUUUUAAUAUCUUCAGGAGUCUUGGAAAAGAUACGCUUUAUGUCAAGCUCAGUGCUAGGUGCUAGGAACGCAGAAACCAAAAAAAGGAAUUAAGAAAGUGCUCAUGUUCUCAAAGAACGCAAAGAGAUUUACACCACCAGGUUGUAGGUAACCAGAGUACUGGGUUAACUGCCGCUGGCUCUGGAAUAGAUGUUUCCCUAAGAUGGCUUAUCUCUUAAAGACCUCACAAGAGCUCUGAGGCUGGGUAUACUCUGGCUCCAUUUUCACAGAUGAACAGCCUACCUACCGCUCCCAGUCUUUGUUCCACCGAAGACCACGGUGCACUCCAGUCCUGGUCCUUUGACUCCAAGCCCUCUGCUGAGUUUCCUCUUGGUAGCAACCCAGUGGGCAGUGCCAAACUCUUCCAAGCCCAUGGAAGGGCACACAAGAAUUUACAGGGCACACAAGAAUUUACUACCUUUUAUCAGAGAGCAUACGCUGGGAAGUUCCUCCUUAUUUUGAAAGACCCAGGUCAAGUGUAACACUCUGGAUGAAACUUGUUCUGUCUCCCCCAGGCAGAGUGAGUUACAUCCUUCUGUAAUACCCUUAUUGCUUUUGGCCCAUAUAUUAAUCCUAUUAAUAAAGAUAGUCGGUGCAAUAAUAGUAGUAAAAUGGUCUGAGUUAACACUAACUGUGUUUGUGAACCAGGUGUCACGCUAAGGGUUUGACAUGCAUUAUUUAAUGGUCAAAAGAAUGUCAGGGGAGACAGUAUUACUGUGUUUGGUUUAUAGAUUCUAUCAGUUGGGAGUUAAGUGUGGCUGCAUGUUGAAACCUGUCUGCAGCGGCUUAACCAAAUGGGAACUUGUUUUUCUCAAAUAACAAUAAAUUAGUAUAGACAGGCUCGGGCUGAUAUGGUGGGUCUACUAUAUAUAUAUAUAUAUGUUUU